rnacentral:pre_miRNA from 14 species
UGUUAACAGUGAAAGACCCCCGGAGCAGAGAGACCCUCACUCAAGUCUCGGGAUGAUGCGACCCCCCAAGAACUCACGUGAGACC